AGUGAACGCUGGCGGCGUGCCUAACACAUGCAAGUCGAGCGAGCUUUUGCAGCGCACCGCAAGAGCUAGCGGCAGACGGGUGAGUAACACGUGAGAAACCUUCCCUCGAAUGGGGAACACCCCCGAGAAAUCGGGGUUAAUACCCCAUAAGACCACGAUCCGGCAUCGGAUAGAGGUCAAAGGCGUAAGUCGUUUGAGGAUGGUCUCGCGUCCUAUCAGCUUGUUGGUGAGGUAACGGCUCACCAAGGCUAUGACGGGUAUCCGGCCUGAAAGGGCGAUCGGACACACUGGAACUGAGACACGGUCCAGACUCCUACGGGAGGCAGCAGUGGGGAAUUUUGGACAAUGGGCGAAAGCCUGAUCCAGCGACGCCGCGUGGAGGAUGAAGGCCUUCGGGUUGUAAACUCCUUUUAGAGGGAACGAAAAAAAUGACGGUACCCUCAGAAAAAGCCACGGCUAACUACGUGCCAGCCGCCGCCGUAAGAC
rnacentral:rRNA from 1 species